GCGGGUGUGGCGAAAUUGGUAGACGCACUAGACUUAGGAUCUAGCGCUUCACGGCAUGGGGGUUCGAGUCCCUCCACCCGCACCA
rnacentral:tRNA from 1 species